rnacentral:lncRNA from 1 species
AGGCUGGCCUCGAACUCAGAAAUCCGCCUGCCUCUGCCUCCCCAGUGCUGGGACUAAAGGCGUGCGCCACCACGCCCGGCUUAAAAAACUUUUUGAGACAGAGUUUCUCUAUGUAAUUCUGGCUGUUCUGGAACUCACUCUAUAGACCAGGAUGGCCUUGAACUCAUAAAGAUCCACUCUGCCUCCCAAGAGCUGGGAUUAAAGGUGUGCACUACCAUUAAAGUAGUGUACCAGUCUACUUUUAGUUAAUUUUUGCAGAGGAUAUGAGGUAGGGGUGGGUAUAGUUUCUGCUUUUGUGUGUCCCAAUAUUGUUUGUUGAGUUGUCUUGGAAUCCUUGUUUAAAAUCCAUUAUCCAUAAAGAAAUGUAGCAAUAUAACUCCUAGUGAUAUUCUCCUAUACUUCCAGGUCAGCCAACAUCAGAGAAGCUUCCUCCUGCAGUAGGUGGGAGUGAACUCAGAGACCCACAGCUGGACAAUGGCAGAGACUGAGAGAUGAACGGCUCAACCUAGAUGGCAUGUCUCCAUCAACCCCCUAUCUUUAGGACCCCAGGAACCUUUUAGAAGAGGAGGAAGAAAGAUUGCAAGAACAGUGGGAAUGGAGGACAAAGAACACAGUGUCUCUACACAACAGGGCUGAUGCACACGUGGGCUCCCAGCAACCAUGGCAGCACGCACAGGGCCUGCACAGGCCUAAGCCAUGUGGAGUCCCAUUGCUGAGAGGAGGUCACCAGCCCUCAUCCCUAACCCAGAAGCUAUCUCCAACUGCAACUGCUCACAAAGGAAAAAGCUCAUUUUUCCAACCAAGUGUCACUGGGUCUACAGACCACACUUAAGUGUAAGGUCUAUGCCCAGCAUUAGAUGGCCAAGUCACAAUGGACCCAGUGGUUGACUCUCUCUCUCUCUCUGCAUGUGUGCGUGUGCGUGUGUGUGCACUUGUGUUUGUGCAUGCAUACCAUGUAUGUGCUUUUCAAUCUUUUUUUUGUUGUUCUAUGCUGUUUUUACUUCUUAAUUGUUAUUUGCCUAUUCAUUUUCUAAAGCUAGAGAGAAAGAAGAUGUGGCGUUAGAUGGAUGGAAAGGUGGAGAGGAUCUGGGAGGAGAGGAGGGAAGGGAAGCCAUCACAUCCUAAGGAUAUAUUCUAUGGAAACAUAUACUCUUAAUAAAAAAUCUAUUAGCUAUGGAUAUAUUCUUAUUAUUUUAGCUCUCUGUAUUUUAAGUUCCAGUUUUUUUCUCUGUGAAGUGAUGAUUAUUAUCCAGACAGAUGUCCAUCAACUGGAGGGUGUGCAAUGUCUGAGUCAAGAGUAUUUUAGGGGCUGUGAUAGCUCAUUUGUUUUUUUAUAUAUGGAAAAAAUAACUUUUAGGUCAAAGAAAAUGUCUUACAAUUUUUCUUACAAUUAUAGUACUGUUUGUGCCAAUGUUUAUUAUAAGAGAAUUAAAAAAA